CCACCCCCGUGGGGCGCACGGAGAAGCUGCUCCUGUGGCUACGGACCAGGCUCAGGGGGAAAACCUGAACAUCCUGCUGGAAACAGAUGGAAAAACAAGUUUGGCUCGGUUUUGGACUUGACAUUUCCCCCCUGACCCCCACCUGGUCCAGGUGUUUUGCCUUAGGAAACAAGAACAGGAGACAGAAGGGGGAAUUGAGAAAAAGAUAAUUUAUUACCCCAAAAGGGACGACCUAAUUUCUAUUUGUUUCCUGAUGCACCUGGAAUAAUUUGGGUCUCAGGAGGCACCUGGGAGCCUCGUUUUGUGUCCUGGGUGGGGCCGUGGCUAUAAAAGGGGUAAAGGAUGGCGGAAGGGGGGGGUCCGGGGGGGGGAGAGGAGCAGUGCUUGGGAUCAGUGGUGCCCUGGGGAUUUGCAUCUGGAAGCGGCCGCCAGUUUCCUGGAAACAGCACACGGAGUCCGUGAGAAAUGGGAAUACUGCAGCUGGAGCGCUGAGAAUGGAGGCUCUGCAGAGAUUGUCAUCUGGGCAGCGUCUGACCCCAGGUCUCGGGGGCUGCGUGGAGAUUCCUCCCUGGAGCAGGGUCACUCCGUGAGGAUGAGCCACAGAGGUUCAGUUCUUGGACCAGGACAGGAGAAAUCAUUAAACUCCUCCCAUCUUUGCCAGAAGCUUCAGUGUUUUAGCAGCCAGAGCCAAGAGGCUUCAGCACCAGGGGUGUGCCCUGGAGGGCUCCUGGUCCUGCCCACGCUGUGGGGGAGCCAGGGCUGGCACAAGGACUCGUGCAGAUGCUGCUCUGGCACCGGAGCUGUUGCCCUGUGGAGCCAUUUUAAAGGUGUGAUUAUGGAACAUUUUGGAGGCUGUUUCUGGAAUUCCAUUUGUAGCUGGAUCUCGCUCCGGGUGCAGCAGUCCAGGCGCUGCACUCACCUCUGCGGACUCGCGCCGAGCUCUCGCCGCAGGAACCCCUCAGGCCUCGGCGGCUGGGAGCUCCCGUUCCUCUCGCUGGGCAAUUGGAAAUCAUUGCCGAUGGACUGCAGGAAUGUUUCCUGGAGCCUUUCCCCUUCUGUGCCCCGGUGUGGGACGGGGGCAGAGGAGCGGCCUCGGGCUGGAAAGGGGCAGGAGAAAGGCAAAGGGACCUCCCUGGUGUCACCAGGGCGCCGUGGGGAACAGAACGGACGCUGUGCGGGCAGGGGAGGUGAGGAGCGACAGCCCGGGGCAAAAUCCCAGCUCAGCCGCAGGGAAAUAAGGAAGGGACGUUUUGGGGGGGAAAGCUGAGGUCAGCCCGGCCAGGUUGUUUGCACAAAGUGGCACCAGAGGCAAGGGUCAAUCCAGAGCCCACCCUGCUCAACCUCUAAAUCCCAGAAUAAAUUCUACAAGCUGCCCCUUGAGGGACUAGAA
rnacentral:lncRNA from 1 species